rnacentral:rRNA from 1 species
GAUGAACGCUGGCGGCGUGCUUAACACAUGCAAGUCGAACGGGAAUUAUUUUAUUGAAACUUCGGUCGAUUUAAUUUAAUUCUAGUGGCGGACGGGUGAGUAACGCGUGGGUAACCUGCCUUAUACAGGGGGAUAACAGUCAGAAAUGGCUGCUAAUACCGCAUCAGCGCACAGAGCUGCAUGGCUCAGUGUGGAAAACUCCGGUGGUAUAAGAGGGACCCGCGUUGGAUUAGCUGGUUGGUGGGGUAACGGCCCACCAAGGCGACGAUCCAUAGCCGGCAUGAGAGGGGGAACGGCCACAUUGGGACUGAGCCACGGCCCAGACUCCUACGGGAGGCAGCAGUGGGGAAUAUUGCACAAUGGGGGAAACCAUGAUGCAGCGACGACGCGUGAAGGAAGAAGUAUCUCGGUAUGUAAACUUCUAUCAGCAGGGAAGAUAGUGACGGUACCUGACUAAGAAGCCCCGGCUAACUACGUG